CCUCAGACUGCUUCCUUCUUAUAAACUCUUGGUUCCUUAUUUAUCAUUUUUCGUUUUUGUUUUUUAAGUUGUUUGACCUGAUUUUAUCAUAGUAGUUCCAAAUGCCUUACAGCCCAGUGGAGUCAAGCUAAGGAAAGACAGCAUGAUUUCCACAGGAUUUGUAUUUCUUCCCUCUGGAUAAAGUGAUAGUAGUUCCCAGACUCGCUGCCGGCAGGAUCCAAGGUCGUCUUUCCUCCGGGAUUUAAUCUGGUGUCAUCAGGAACCUAGACUCAGGUUUUAUUGGAGAGCAAGGCUCAAUAAGAAGUGUCCUUUGAGGAGAAUCAAGGACUCAAUCUAGGCAUAAAAGGUGUUGCUCAGCACAAUACCCUCUACGGUAAGCUACCAGUCCUGAGAACCUGUGGUCAAAGCUGAAUUGAAAAUAUUGAUGGAACUCAGACUCUGUGUAACUGGGGACUGGUUCAGAGCUCAAGACUAUAAUUUACAGGGCUGCUUUUAUCCUUUAUUUAGUUCUAUCCAAAGUCAUCUUGCAUCAACUCAAAAGGAGAGAUUCUGUGAGGGUAACCUACAGGGAAAUUUCCCAGCUUUGUGUGAAGAAUCCAGUGGUUGAGUGUCUAUCUGCAUCCUGAGGAACCAUGUCCUCUUUAUAUACCCGAAGUAAAGAAUUCACUCGGAAUAGGAAAUCUCAGUCUGAUUCUCCCCCAGCAUCUCCCUCCCCGACUGCCAAGACGCUCCGACAUGAAAGACUUUCUAGGUUGGAAUCGGGAGGUAGUAAUCCUACAACCAGUGAUUCUUACGGUGACCGGGCUUCAGCAAGAGCCCGUCGGGAGGCCCGGGAGGCCCGCCUAGCCACCCUGACCAGCCGUGUAGAAGAAGACAGCAACAGAGAUUAUAAAAAACUCUAUGAGAGUGCUCUGACUGAAAACC
rnacentral:lncRNA from 1 species